UACGAAGGGGGCUAGCGUUGCUCGGAAUCACUGGGCGUAAAGCGCACGUAGGCGGACUCUUAAGUCGGUGGUGAAAUCCUGGAGCUCAACUCCAGAACUGCCUUCGAUACUGAGAGUCUCGAGUCCGAGAGAGGUGAGUGGAACUGCGAGUGUAGAGGUGAAAUGCGUAGAUAUUGGGAGGAACACCAGUGGCGAAGGCGGCUCACUGGACCGGUACUGACGCUGAUGCGCGAAAGCGUGGGGAGCAAACGGG
rnacentral:rRNA from 1 species